rnacentral:rRNA from 1 species
UCUGCCCGGUGAUUAUUUUUAACGGCCGCAGUACUUUGACUGUGCUAAGGUAGCAAAAUAAAUAGGCUUUUAAUUGAGGUCGAGUAUGAAUGGCAUUAUGGGUGAAAGCUGUCUUAUAAUAUACAAUAUAAAUUUAUUUAGUGGGUGAAAAUACCCACAUAAAAACAUUAGACGAGAAGACCCUUAGAGUUUUUAAUAAGCAUGCAAUUAAAUGCGAUAUGAUUUUUUGUUGGGGCGACACAGUAUCAUUUAGCAUACUUAUACUACACACAUUACAAAUAUUUUUAUAAAAAUGAAUAUAACUACCUAAGGGAUAACAGCAUAAUUUUUUUUAAGAUUGUGACCUCGAUGUUGGACUAGGGACUAAAUAUAUUAGCCAUAUAUUUAGAAUAUUCUGUU